rnacentral:rRNA from 1 species
CCUACGGGAGGCAGCAGUGAGGAAUAUUGGUCAAUGGACGAGAGUCUGAACCAGCCAAGUAGCGUGAAGGAUGACUGCCCUAUGGGUUGUAAACUUCUUUUAUAUGGGAAUAAAAUGUUCCACGUGUGGGAUUUUGUAUGUACCAUAUGAAUAAGGAUCGGCUAACUCCGUGCCAGCAGCCGCGGUAAUACGGAGGAUCCGAGCGUGAUCCGGAUUUAUUGGGUUUAAGGGGAGCGUAGGUGGAUUGUUAAGUCAGAUGUGAAAGUUUGCGGCUCAACCGUAAAAUUGCAGUUAAAACUGGCAGUCUUGAGUACAGUAGAGGUGGGCGGAAUUCGUGGUGUAGCGGUGAAAUGCUUAGAUAUCACGAAGAACUCCGGUUGCGAAGGCAGUUCACUGGACUGCAACUGACACUGAGGCUCGAAAGUGUGGGUAUCAAACAGGAUUAGAUACCCUUGUAGUC